rnacentral:rRNA from 1 species
GACGAACGCUGGCGGCGUGCUUAACACAUGCAAGUCGAACGAAGAGCGAUGGAAGCUUGCUUCUAUCAAUCUUAGUGGCGAACGGGUGAGUAACGCGUAAUCAACCUGCCCUUCAGAGGGGGACAACAGUUGGAAACGACUGCUAAUGCCGCAUACGAUCUAAUCUCGGCAUCGAGGAUAGAUGAAAGGUGGCCUCUACAUGUAAGCUAUCACUGAAGGAGGGGAUUGCGUCUGAUUAGCUAGUUGGAGGGGUAACGGCCCACCAAGGCGAUGAUCAGUAGCCGGUCUGAGAGGAUGAACGGCCACAUUGGGACUGAGACACGGCCCAGACUCCUACGGGAGGCAGCAGUGGGGAAUCUUCCGCAACGGACGAAAGUCUGACGGAGCAACGCCGCGUGAGUGAUGACGGCCUUCGGGUUGUAAAGCUCUGUUAAUCGGGACGAAAGGCCUUCUUGCGAAUAGUGAGAAGGAUUGACGGUACCGGAAUAGAAAGCCACGGCUAACUACGUG